UACGUAGGGUGCAAGCGUUGUCCGGAAUUAUUGGGCGUAAAGAGCUCGUAGGCGGUUUGUUGCGUCGGCUGUGAAAUCCCGAGGCUCAACCUCGGGUCUGCAGUCGAUACGAGCAAACUAGAGUGUUGCAGGGGAGACUGGAAUUCCUGGUGUAGCGGUGAAAUGUGCAGAUAUCAGGAGGAACACCGGUGGCGAAGGCGGGUCUCUGGGCAGUAACUGACGCUGGAGGAGCGAAAGCGUGGGGAGCGAACAGG
rnacentral:rRNA from 1 species